GACGAACGCUGGCGGCGUGCUUAACACAUGCAAGUCGAACGGAAAGGCCCUGCUUGCAGGGUACUCGAGUGGCGAACGGGUGAGUAACACGUGGGUGAUCUGCCCUGCACUUCGGGAUAAGCCUGGGAAACUGGGUCUAAUACCGGAUAGGAGCCAUUUUUAGUGUGAUGGUUGGAAAGUUUUUUCGGUGUAGGAUGAGCUCGCGGCCUAUCAGCUUGUUGGUGGGGUAAUGGCCUACCAAGGCGGCGACGGGUAGCCGGCCUGAGAGGGUGGACGGCCACGUUGGGACUGAGAUACGGCCCAGACUCCUACGGGAGGCAGCAGUGGGGAAUAUUGCACAAUGGGCGCAAGCCUGAUGCAGCGACGCCGCGUGGGGGAUGACGGCCUUCGGGUUGUAAACUCCUUUCGCUAGGGACGAAGCUUUUUGUGACGGUACCUAGAUAAGAAGCACCGGCUAACUACGUGCCGGCAGCCGCGGUAAUACGUAGGGUGCGAGCGUUGUCCGGAAUUACUGGGCGUAAAGGGCUCGUAGGUGGUUUGUCGCGUCGUCUGUGAAAUUCCGGGGCUUAACUCCGGGCGUGCAGGCGAUACGGGCAUAACUUGAGUACUGUAGGGGUAACUGGAAUUCCUGGUGUAGCGGUGAAAUGCGCAGAUAUCAGGAGGAACACCGAUGGCGAAGGCAGGUUACUGGGCAGUUACUGACGCUGAGGAGCGAAAGCAUGGGUAGCGAACAGG
rnacentral:rRNA from 1 species